rfam:Morus notabilis contig6222, whole genome shotgun sequence.
CAUCCCUAUGAUGAAUUAUUCAAAUUAAAAGUAGUGGCCUGAAAAUCACUUGAUGAAAAAAUGGAUUUUGAGGGAUG